rnacentral:rRNA from 1 species
CUACGGGUCGCUGCAGUUAGGUAUAAUCUACAAUGCACGAAAGUGUGAUAGUUUGAAUCAGAGUGCUUUGCUUUGCAAAGCUUUUGUGAAAUGUAAAAAGUUUCACGAAUAAGGACUGGGUAAGACUAGUGCCAGCCGCCGCGGUAAUACUAGCGGUCCAAGUCGCAGCUAUUUUUAUUGGGUCUAAAACAUCCGUAGCUUGCUUUGUAAGUUCCUUGUGAAAUCCUAUAUCUCAAAUAUAGGGCGGGCAAGGAGUACUGCUAAGCUAGAGACUGGGAGACGUAACGAGUACGUUUGAGGUAGCGGUAAAAUGUGUUAAUCUCAGACGGACUAACAAUAGCGAAGGCACGUUACGAGAACAGUUCUGACAGUAAGGGAUGAAGGCCAGGGGCGCAAAACGGAUUAGAUACCCGUGUAGUC